rnacentral:rRNA from 1 species
GUGGGGAAUCUUGCGCAAUGGGCGAAAGCCUGACGCAGCCAUGCCGCGUGAAUGAUGAAGGUCUUAGGAUUGUAAAAUUCUUUCACCGGGGACGAUAAUGACGGUACCCGGAGAAGAAGCCGCGGCUAACUUCGUGCCAGCAGCCGCGGUAAUACGAAGGGGGCUAGCGUUGCUCGGAAUUACUGGGCGUAAAGGGCGCGUAGGCGGACAGUUUAGUCAGAGGUGAAAGCCCAGGGCUCAACCUUGGAAUUGCCUUUGAUACUGGCUGUCUUGAGUACGGGAGAGGUGAGUGGAACUCCGAGUGUAGAGGUGAAAUUCGUAGAUAUUCGGAAGAACACCAGUGGCGAAGGCGACUCACUGGCCCGUUACUGACGCUGAGGCGCGAAAGCGUGGGGAGCAAACAGGAUUAGAAACCCUUGUAGUCC